UCUAGGGAAUUGUUUGUUAUAAAGUGGAGAGAAUUAAGACAACUUGGUUUCUUUAAACACAGAGGAGCAUUCAUACCUUCCUAACUCUGAGGUAUCUAGAGGCCGGCGGACCACAGUGCCCAUCAAUUCUCACUCUUGCUGCCCGGGGAGAAUGGGAAUUGUAGUACAACAUCAGCCACACCUGGUAGUGCCUUACCCACUCCUAUUCUAAUUAUAAGGUUUCUAAUUGUGGUUAUUUUCAUAGGGUGGGGGGCAGCACUCAGAUCCUAUCUCAGAGAUUGACCCUAAUUGCAAAAUGAUUCUAUGUAUUUAAAUGGUUGAUGUUAUUCUGUGCCGCCAGGCGGCUUCGAAUUCAUGGGGACUCUAAGUACAGGAGGACCCCAGUAUCCGCGGGAUCAGUAUACACUGAUUCACUGAUCCAUACUCUGCAAGUAUUAAAAAUAUUUAAAUAGAUAUCUCUAAAGGUGAAGAUAACAAAACUGACCAGUAGAGGGAGCCAGAGACCAGGCUGUUUACAAGAGUAACCCCUUAUCCGCAGGAUCGGUAUCCACUGAUUCACUGUUCUCUGAAAUGCUUCGUUGGAAUUCAAUUGGAUCCUUUCCUUUUGGUCUAGAUUUGCCUCUGGAAUUUGUGGGUUGUCUGAAUGUGUGGUGCGGCCUUGUCCCCCCCCCCGGUCUCCACUGCAGUGUGUAACUUUUACUUUUGCCUCUCCUCCGUACAGCAUGGAUGUCCAAGGGGACUAUGAACCGUCCGAUGCCACAGGAUUCAUUAACAUCAACUCCUUGAGGCUGAAGGAAUAUCAUCGGCUUCAAAGCAAGGCCAGCUUGGCACAGAAUUGAUGGCGAUCCAGGGACCCCGGGCUCUUCCUCCCCCUCUCGUCUUAAUUCCUCCAUGUGGGGCCACUAAUUGCCAGCGGUAAUUGGUAACUGCUACUCAUCUCCUCGAGCCAAAAGCAUUGUGUGAUUAUUAUUUUGUGUGUGUGUGUGUUAUGCUUCUCAAUGGGAAAUGGGACCCAGAAAAGGUGAUUAAUGGAGGGGGGGGGAAUGUGAGCUAGGAUGCUCGGUGCAGGAGAAUGCUAUUAAAAUAUCUCUCACAUUGUUCCUAACGAAAGAGGCGUCUUUUUAAUUUCUGCCUUUCUUUUAAAAAAUUUUGUUCGUUUGUUUGCAGCUGUUUGCGCAGCUCACGCUUCGCCGGCCCAUGGCGUUUGCCAAAACCGGUCUUUGUAACGGUUUUUAAAGUGCCUCUGAAGGACACCUGAUUUUUUUUUUUUUUAAUGUUGGGAAAUCCGCAUUGUUUCCUUGGGGAAGUGAAAAAAUCAAACGGUGUUUUGUGACGAAGGGGGGAACCAAACCCCCUCUUCGCUUGUGGAACAUUAAAAAGAAAGUGAAGGAAUAAUUGUUCCUUCCCUUUUUUAAAAAUCACAAUAGAAAACAUUGUUUUCGUCUUCGUUUCCAAGGCCUGGUUUAUUGGGUUUUUUUUCUCAUUCGUUUCCUUCCAAAACCUUUCUUUUUUUUAAUCAAAAGGAAUCUUUCGCUUGAUCGAGGCAAUUGGGAGAGAGAACAGGAAAAGAAGGGAAUAUAAUUUUUGUGGAGGGAGACAUGUCGAAUUUUGAAAAUACUCCAUUCAAAGCAUCGCCCUCAGUAGACUCGAGACAGUUUCGUGGAAAGCACUAGGAACGCCAGAAAGAAAACUUGUGAACCUUUUUCUUAACUAAAGUAGAGAAAACGGGAGGGUGAACUUAAUUUUACAUUUAGCAACUGGAGAUGCUAGGUUUUGAAUGCACUUUUCCCACCCCCCACUUGAGAUCCUGCAGUCGGGCUCCGUGGAUUGAAUCCAUCGGAAAGCAUUACAAAUAAAUGAAUAAAUACAAGCA
rnacentral:lncRNA from 1 species